AUGUCGACUGCAAUACUCAACAUAACCGGAGGAGAUACUAUCAAUCAGUUUGAAAAGAAAUGGAUAGGUCAAAAUAGCCAUGAAAAUGAUGACAUGCCUGAUGGUUCAGGCACUAUCAACUUCGAAAGUUGUGGGGGAUUAUUCCUCAUAUCUGGAAUUGUGACAACCGGUUCCCUUUUAGUAGCCAUGCUGAUGAGCCGCUAUAAAAAACGUCAACAAAAUGCAGGGAACAAACGGGAUGACCAAAAUGAAUCUAGACCUGGGCAGGAAAAGAAGAAGAUGGAAGAACAAGGAGAUCAAAACAGCAAUGGAGAGGGAACUGAAUUGACGGAGAGCCAAACAACAUUGUCAGUGCCUCACAGUUCGAACGGAAAUGGUGACCAGCUUACCAGGCAGUAG
rnacentral:rRNA from 1 species